rnacentral:rRNA from 1 species
GAUGAACGCUGGCGGCAUGCCUAAUACAUGCAAGUCGAACGAGAGGAAGGAAAGCUUGCUUUCCUGAAUCUAGUGGCGAACGGGUGAGUAACACGUAGGUAACCUGCCCAUGUGCCCGGGAUAACUUCUGGAAACGGAUGCUAAAACCGGAUAGGUAGCAGACAAGCAUUUGACUGCUAUUAAAGUGGCCUUGUCCAUGAACAUGGAUGGACCUGCGGUGCAUUAGCUAGUUGGUGAGGUAACGGCCCACCAAGGCGACGAUGCAUAGCCGGCCUGAGAGGGCGGACGGCCACAUUGGGACUGAGACACGGCCCAAACUCCUACGGGAGGCAGCAGUAGGGAAUUUUCGUCAAUGGGGGGAACCCUGAACGAGCAAUGCCGCGUGAGUGAGGAAGGUCUUCGGAUCGUAAAGCUCUGUUGUAAGAGAAAAACGGCACUCAUAGGGAAUGAUGAGUGAGUGAUGGUAUCUUACCAGAAAGUCACGGCUAACUACGUGCCAGCCGCCGCCGUAAAAC